rnacentral:rRNA from 1 species
GACGAACGCUGGCGGCGUGCUUAACACAUGCAAGUCGAACGGUAAGGCCCUUCGGGGUACACGAGUGGCGAACGGGUGAGUAACACGUGGGUGAUCUGCCCUGCACUUCGGGAUAAGCCUGGGAAACUGGGUCUAAUACCGGAUAGGACCACUGCCUGCAUGGGUGGUGGUGGAAAGCUUUUGCGGUGUGGGAUGGGCCCGCGGCCUAUCAGCUUGUUGGUGGGGUGAUGGCCUACCAAGGCGACGACGGGUAGCCGGCCUGAGAGGGUGACCGGCCACACUGGGACUGAGAUACGGCCCAGACUCCUACGGGAGGCAGCAGUGGGGAAUAUUGCACAAUGGGCGCAAGCCUGAUGCAGCGACGUCGCGUGAGGGAUGACGGCCUUCGGGUUGUAAACCUCUUUCAGCACAGACGAAGCGCAAGUGACGGUAGGUGCAGAAGAAGGACCGGCCAACUACGUGCCAGCAGCCGCCGUAA